AUUGAACGCUGGCGGCAGGCCUAACACAUGCAAGUCGAACGAGUGGCGGACGGGUGGGUAAUGUCUGGGAACCUGCCUGAUGGAGGGGGAUAACUACUGGAAACGGUAGCUAAUACCGCAUACCAUCAGAUGUGCCCAGAGGGGAGUAGCUGGUUGGUGGGGUAACGGCUCACCAAGGGGACGAUCCCUAGCUGGUCUGAGAGGGUGACCAGCCACACUGUAACUGAGACACGGUCCAGACUCCUACGGGAGGCAGCAGUGGGGAAUAUUGGGCAAUGGACGCAAGCCUGAUGCAGCCAUGCCGCGUGUAUGAAGAAGGCCUGCGGGUUGUAAAGUACUGUCAGCGGGGAGGCGUUACCCGCAGAAGAAGCACCGGCUAACUCCGUGCCAGCAGCCGCGGUAAUUC
rnacentral:rRNA from 1 species